CCGGGAAUUCGCGUGCGGCUGCGGAAGGGCGGGCGACGGGCUGCACCUGCCGGGAGGUGGUCGGUCACUCGCCGCGGCUUUGCCCCUACGCCUAGAGCAGGAAUUAGAGGGCUUUUCUUACAAUAGAAAGAAAAAAUAGACGUUGUCAUCUAAAUUUGCUCUAACAGCUGGUUUUCAUGCCGUAGCAUCGAGAGAGAGUCGUCAAACCCUCAGCAGAACCUUAGUUUCCCACUGGCUGGCACUCCAGACCUGAGUACAGACUCCUUGCUUUUGGGGCAGAAAAGCAGUCUGAGUUGUCUUUCAGUCCUUCUCUAUAAGCAACUUUGAAUCUCCACUGAUGCAUGAAGUCCCAGAGCACCAAGGCAGCAGCACAGACAGUUCUGCAACCAGUUUGGGAAGCUCUAUCACAG
rnacentral:lncRNA from 1 species